rfam:Pseudomonas resinovorans NBRC 106553 DNA, complete geonome.
AGAGUCGAUCGGACAGUCGCUGUCUCAUUUCGUUCUACGAUUUUGAGAGGGAGGAAAGUCCGGGCUCCACAGGGCGGAGUGCCAGGUAACGCCUGGGAGGCGCAAGCCUACGGAAAGUGCCGCAGAAAAUAACCGCCUAAGCGCGCAAGCGCCGGUAAGGGUGAAAAGGUGCGGUAAGAGCGCACCGCACGACUGGUAACAGUUCGUGGCUAGGUAAACCCCACUCGGAGCAAGACCAAAUAGGAAUCCAUGGCGUGGCCCGCGUCGGAUUCGGGUAGGUUGCUAAAGGCUGUCAGUGAUGGCAGCCGUAGAUGAAUGACUGUCCUCGACAGAACCCGGCUUACAGAUCGACUCUUCAC